rnacentral:rRNA from 1 species
CGGGUGAGUAAUGCGUGACCAACCUGCCCCAUGCUCCAGAAUAGCUCUUGGAAACGGGUGGUAAUGCUGGAUGCUCCAACUUGACGCAUGUCUUGUUGGGAAAGUGUUUAGUGACAUGGGAUGGGGUCGCGUCCUAUCAGCUUGUAGGCGGGGUAAUGGCCCACCUAGGCUUCGACGGGUAGCCGGCCUGAGAGGGCGGACGGCAACAUUGGGACUGAGAUACGGCCCAGACUCCUACGGGAGGCAGCAGUG